UACGAAGGGUGCAAGCGUUACUCGGAAUUACUGGGCGUAAAGCGUGCGUAGGUGGUUUGUUAAGUCUGCUGUGAAAGUCCAGGGCUCAACCCUGGGAUGCCGGUGGAUACUGCUGGACUAGAGUGCGGAAGAGGCGAGUGGAAUUCCCGGUGUAGCGGUGAAAUGCGCAGAUAUCGGGAGGAACACCAAUUGCGAAGGCAGCUCGCUGGGACGUUACUGACGCUGAGACGCGAAAGCGUGGGGAGCAAACAGG
rnacentral:rRNA from 1 species